AACGAGGAAACAAUUUUAAUGAUAAUGUGACGCCUCAGCUGAUUUCUUAUAUAGCGACGGGCCUGAGUGUACCGCGAUCGUCACCCCGGCCGCUAAGCGGCCCCGGCGCGGAGCGGUGCGAGGGGGACGGUAGGCGUCACCUACUGAAUUUCGCCCGAAAUGUGCAGAUCGUGGCCAGCUCUGCUAUUGGUGUAUGUGCGUUACACGCUGCACUAAGGCCCGGUCUACAACGGUUAUUUUUUGAAAUUCACUGAAAAUAUUCUGACAGAGCUGCUGAUGAAAUCAGCGUAUUUCCGUCGCUCCGAAAUUAUCAGUAAAUUGUUGCAACAAUGAACAUUGGAAUGCAUUUGCAAUAUCACGCAGUAUUACAGACAAUGUGGCAAUGUAACAUCAGCGACGAUCAUGAAGAAGAGCAAUCUAACUUAUUUAAAAAAAGAGGGUAUGUAAAAGCGAUAUUAAAAUAAUGGAAAAGUCAAUCACAAUUGUAAUUGAUUAAUGGCAGAACAAGAAAGAGGAGCAGGAGGGUCGGUAAAAAAUUAUGUUGACAAUGUCGUAACUUUCCUUCUAGAUGGAGGAUUUAAAGAAUACCCUAGUUAAAUUAAUAAUUAAGGCUGAAAACAAUUUGGAAAAAUACGAAAGCAGUACGGCUAGUCUGAUAUGGGUUUAAGGUUUUCGUUUCCUCAUCGCGGCCAUCUUGGAUGAUGACAUCAGAAGCGAAGAAAUUCACGUUAAAAAUUCCUAUGGACUACGUCAAGAUAAAAAGACAUUCGCGAAAUGACGCUCGCAAUCGAUUGCACAUACUUCUAAACUGCUCCAGAAACUUUCCUUCCGUUCCAACAAUCAAUAACCGUGAAACUGAUGAUAUAUAUAUAUAUACACAUACACACAGACACACACACAUUGUCCUUUUUAACCACUUUUUCUCGUGAUUUUGUCACGUUGGCCUGAUUGUCAGAACAAGAGAAAAGUUUCCCGAGCAGCUUGGAAAUGUGUUCAAUCGAAUGCGUUACUUUAUGGAUAUAUCUUUUUACUUCGACGUGAUCCGUAGAAAUUUUCAAUAUGAAGGCUUCAGCUAACUGCGUAGAAAAUGGCUGACCGUGCGAUUGUCUCUUGGCAACGAUCAGUUUAGGAUGAACGCAACGAACAACCGCUGCUUGCAUAUUUCUUUCAUGCUUCUCUUUCAUCUCUAUCUGGUGCAACAAAUAAUUAUUCACAAUAUGCUUUAUAUAUUGCGUGGAUCAAAAUUCGCUUUUUUCAACCACUUUCUGUAUAUAAUGAAAGAAACGUAAUUACUUAUAUCACAACUUGUUAUCUUCGAUGGAAAAAUGGAAUUCAAUAAAUCAUCCAAUAAACCAGAGAGUUGGUUUAUAAAUAA